rnacentral:rRNA from 1 species
AACGAACGCUGGCGGCAUGCCUAACACAUGCAAGUCGAACGAGACCUCCGGGUCUAGUUGCGCACACGGGCGUAACGUGUGGGAACCUUCCCGAAUGCACGGAAUAACACCCCGUCGGGGGUGAUAACACAGGGUAAUUUAUUCUGACCAAGGAUUUAUCGCCUUUGGAUGGGCACGCGUUGGACUAGCUUGUUGGUAGGGUAAAAGCCUAUCAAGGAGUCGAUCGAUAGCUGGGCUGAGAGGAUGAUCAGCCACACUGGGACUCGGACACGGCCCAGACUACUACACGAGGCGGCAGUGGGGAAUACAGCACAACGGGCGAGAUCCUGAUCCAGUAAUGCUGCGUGAGUGAUUAAGUCCUUAGAGAAGUAAAGCUCUUUUACCCGCGAUGAUAAUGACGGUACCGGAAGAAUAAGCACCGGCUAACUCCGUG